AUCCAGCUGACCAAUCCGAAAUAGGAUGAAACGCGCGUUCUGGAU
rnacentral:hammerhead_ribozyme from 1 species